UGGCGGCGUGCCUAAUACAUGCAAGUCGAACGCAUCCCGUUGAAUUGAAGUGCUUGCACUGAUUUUUAACAUUGGAUGAGUGGCGAACUGGUGAGUAACACGUGGGUAACCUGCCCAGAAGCGGGGGAUAACACUUGGAAACAGGUGCUAAUACCGCAUAACAACUGAAACCGCAUGGUUUCAGUUUGAAAGAUGGUUUCGGCUAUCACUUCUGGAUGGACCCGCGGCGUAUUAGCUAGUUGGUGGAGUAAUGGUUCACCAAGGCAAUGAUACGUAGCCGACCUGAGAGGGUAAUCGGCCACAUUGGGACUGAGACACGGCCCAAACUCCUACGGGAGGCAGCAGUAGGGAAUCUUCCACAAUGGACGAAAGUCUGAUGGAGCAACGCCGCGUGAGUGAAGAAGGGUUUCGGCUCGUAAAACUCUGUUGUUGAAGAAGAACACAUCUGAGAGUAACUGUUCAGGUGUUGACGGUAUUUAACCAGAAAGCCACGGCUAACUACGUGCCAGCAGCCGCGGUAAUACGUAGGUGGCAAGCGUUGUCCGGAUUUAUUGGGCGUAAAGCGAGCGCAGGCGGUUUCUUAAGUCUGAUGUGAAAGCCUUCGGCUUAACCGGAGAAGUGCAUCGGAAACUGGGAGACUUGAGUGCAGAAGAGGACAGUGGAACUCCAUGUGUAGCGGUGAAAUGCGUAGAUAUAUGGAAGAACACCAGUGGCGAAGGCGGCUGUCUGGUCUGUAACUGACGCUGAGGCUCGAAAG
rnacentral:rRNA from 1 species